AUGAGGUGCUCACAUUCCUUUGCCGCCCAUCUAGAGGCUGAAAUUCAGAUGUGUCAUGGUGAUCAAGCUAAACCCUUAUUUUGGGUGGUCUUUGGGCGUUGUUUCCCCGCUGAACGAUCUUUUAAGCUUCAGCCAUCUUUAGUAAGAGGUGGUUGCUACUCUUGUGUUAUUAUGCUAGCAUUGCUUUAUUCUCUUGCCCAUAGCAAAGCUACAUGCCAGCUGGAGAGAUUGUGUGAUCUUCCUUCGCCAGGUGCUCAACAAGUUGCCUGGUAUGGUUAUUGUGGCUUUGCUAAUUGUGCUUCUUCCUAA
rnacentral:rRNA from 1 species